CAGCAUCGAGCGGCUGGAGAAAGAGAAGGAAAUGCGGGCGCGGACCUCAGUCCGUUCUGCGUGUGCGUGACGUCAGCGCACAGCUCUACACACCUGGCUGUGGGGGGGGGCGCUGAGGAUUCUAAUUUAAAUGGCUCUGCGCGAGAGGUUCCAUUGCGUUGAGCAGGGAACGCCCUGGGAAGGCUGUGCUGAUGCUUAUAGGUUUACUCCGGAGACAGAGUCGCCCGUGGUGGGGUGUUCGACUUCCUUAGGUUACUAUAGGGGCAUCCUCGGUGGUGCUGUGAUCCCAUGUGGCUGCAAAUCAUUAUCAAUGGUAGGAAAUUACAUUGCACUAUUUGAAAUUUAGAAAGAUGAGUAAACUGUCAAGUAGACACGAAAGGCACAAUGACAUUCUGUGACAGGCUACAACCUGACAUUUUAUUGCUGUGACUCUAUAGGAUUCUCUUGAUUACUAACAAUAGAAAAGGAACAAAGUCUUAGAACUGCCCAUCUCCUUUGAUUAUUUCUAAUGUGCAGCAAUAUCAGUAUUCUCUGUGUCAUGAGAUCACCUGUCGGAAAAAUCUGGCAAGCUGUUCCAUGCAAUUUAUCUCACCAUGCUGAGUUUUGGCCAGGAUCUAGGCUUUAUUCCCAAGAAAGUAGAUGCUGUUUUCAGCCUCUCUCAUGAGAGGCAUUUGGAAUAUCCAGCUAUUUUCUUAAUUGAAAAACUAUAAAACUGAGUUGUGAGCCAUUGCUGAAAGAAUGUGAGGAACCCAGUUUAAGAAAACUGUAUAAUGAUAAAAGUGUCCAAGGGGAAAAAAAACAGGAAAUGUUUUUAGAUGAGAAAGAGCUAUCAGGAAUUUAAACAGGAAAGACUGAGUACUGUUUGUUGCUGCAGAAGCUAAUGCUGUAUGCAGAAUGACCAUUGCCCUGAAGAUCUGUGCUUUUGACAGAAAGUCAAUCUGAGGUCAGGCAAACCAGGUCAGCAGCGCAGACUAGGCCACAAGGCACCUAGCUGGUUAAAGAAACAGAAAAUGGAACUAGAGACAAGGGAGUCAGAUUGCAAACCAGAAUUAUGUUCAGACGAUCUAGGUCACUGUAAAGAGUGCAAAAUGUGAGAGCCAGAGGAGACAAGCUACCAAGCCAAGGCAAGUAAUGAGUUGCAGCUGGAAAAGAGGGUGAGUCCUCAGGAGUGAUGGGGAACUGAGGCACAAGCAGGCAUAUCCCAUCUUACUAAAUGGGUCAUCAUCUGCAAGACAGAAGGCACUGAGAAAGAUGUGUCAAUUGGAGCUAAGGCUUACCUGCCGUCCUGCUAAUGUGCUGUUUGCUGUGACUAAGCAGCUAUGCUUCCCAUGGGUGGGGUAGGGCAGUACUACAGGCACUUGCUUUGAUUUACAGUGCUUGUUAUCAUGGGAAAACUGAGGUUUGCAGGGCACACAGCCCAUGGUUUCAGCUGAGAAACAUUUAUGCUUGCUAACAGCUUGUUUGCUAAUAGAUACGAAUGACUAUCCUGAAGAAUAACUUCGAAAGGUCCUCCACCACUCCAUUCAAGUUUCCAUCUUUGAAACAUAGCAGUUCCUUGUCUCCCAAGCUUGGUCUGAGCUGUAGCCUUGUGUCUGUGCUUCCAAAAUAGACCUACCAGCAAUGGGCAGCUUUCCACCAGAGUUGUCUUGGACCAAAACCAUAUACACGGUAUGCAAAGUGGUUUGUAACCCACAAACCGUAUUUUUCAGACAUGCAUACACCAAAAUAAAAACAACCAAACAAACUUAACAUAUUCUUAUAGUUUUAGAUUCUGAACUAACCUAUUUGGUAGGUUUCAUUCAGUAUAAGGAGGCCUUCUCUUUCAUUUUUACGUGCCUACCUUUAGUAUUGAAACAAAGAGAGUAAGUCCCAUCACAGCACUUGUUUUUGAUAGAAUAGGUGUACAUUUCAUCUAUAUUUUGUUUUUAUACUUCAUGUGAGAUUCCGAACCAUGUUGAAUUAAUACAUAUGCAGUUCAUUUCUACAGGUUUCUGUUCCUACGGAACUCGAUCUGGUAUUACUGUAUUUAGAAAGUGACAAUGUGUUGAUACACACGGAAAUACUGUAAGAAAUAAACCUGAUGUUAACAAUGAAUGAGUGCUGCCCAGAUAGCCCAUACUACGGUAGGCCAAUUAGCCUGAAAACAUCCUGGACAAACAGGUGCACAAUUCACUUUCUUAUGAACUAACAAUUAGGAAUAAAAUUAAUUCAAAUCAACAUUUUUCUGGAUUUUAUUUUCUGGAAAAAUAUAGAGAAAAUCUGUACAAUUUUUGACUAAGUAUUUCAUGACAUUCAAAUAGGAAUCGCAGCAAUAUGCUUUAUCUGUGAUACUUAAGAGAUAUUGAAGGUGAGAUGACAGAUUUUUUUAGAUGUACAUAUUUUUUCUUUAUAUGGAUGUGUAAUUUUGUCAUUCAUGACAUUAUUUAAAUAUGAUGUCCAGAUUCUAACUAACUGUUAUGGAAAUGUUCUACAGAAUACAGGACUAAUUUCUGUUCUGUUCACAUGCUGUUUGAUAUCUUUGAAGUAAAUAUCAUACCAUAGCUGAUAAUGCUUGUGCACAGAAUUGUAGGGGUUGUAGGUGACCUCUGAAGACAUCUAGUCCACCCCCACUCCAUUAAUGCAUGUUCCCUACAAUAAGUUACACAGGAAAGCAUUCAAGUGGGUUUUGAAUAUCUCCAGAGAAGACUCCACAGCCUUUCUGGGCAGC